rnacentral:ncRNA from 2 species
AAGGAGUGUGUAACAACUCAC